CCAUCUCGUGUUAAAUGUCGUCAUCACAGGCAAGUUCAACAUCUGUGUGGCUCCUGCCCUCAGGCCUCUGGAUGUGUCUUUUAUCAGCUGUGGAGAGGCGCACUCUGCAGUGUUAACAAAGGACGGUAGAGUUUUCAACUUUGGAGAAGGAAGCAACGGUCAGCUCGGUCACAACUCCACUGACAAUGAAAAGGCUCCUAGAUUGCUUGACGGUCUGGACGGAUCUGCCACACAGAUUUCAUGUGGCAGACGUCACACCCUGGUGUUGGGCUCCUCUGGCCGACUGUGGGCUUUUGGUCAUGGGGCAAAGGGUCAAAUUGGGACUGGAGGAACAGGUGAUUGUCUGACGCCCACUCAAGUACAACUUCCAUGGACCAGUGACAAUGGAGCCGCCAAACCCGAAGG